rnacentral:rRNA from 1 species
CCAACAGGGAUUGCCUCAGUAACGGCGAGUGAAGCGGCAACAGCUCAAAUUUGAAAUCUGGCUCUUUCAGGGUCCGAGUUGUAAUUUGUAGAAGAUGCUUCGGGUGUAGCUCCGGUCUAAGUUCCUUGAAACAGGACGUCAUAGAGGGUGGGAAUCCCGUAUGUGACUGGGUGCUUUCGCUCAUGUGAAGCUCUUUCGACGAGUCGAGUUGUUUGGGAAUGCAGCUCAAAAUGGGUGGUAAAUUUCAUCUAAAGCUAAAUAUUGGCCAGAGACCGAUAGCGCACAAGUAGAGUGAUCGAAAGAUGAAAAGCACUUUGGAAAGAGAGUUAAACAGUACGUGAAAUUGUUGAAAGGGAAGCGCUU